rnacentral:rRNA from 1 species
UACGGGGGGGGCAAGCGUUGUUCGGAAUUACUGGGCGUAAAGGGCUCGUAGGCGGCCAACUAAGUCAGACGUGAAAUCCCUCGGCUUAACCGGGGAACUGCAUCUGAUACUGGAUGGCUUGAAUCCGGGAGAGGGAUGCAGAAUUCCAGGUGUAGCGGUGAAAUGCGUAGAUAUCUGGAGGAAUACCGGUGGCGAAGGCGGCAUCCUGGACCGGCAUUGACGCUGAGUGAGCGAAAGCGUGGGGAGCGAACAGG